rnacentral:rRNA from 1 species
UACGGAGGGGGCUAGCGUUGUUCGGAAUUACUUGGCGUAAAGCGCGCGUAGGCGGACCUGCAAGUCGGGGGUGAAAGCCCGAGGCUCAACCUCGGAACUGCCUUCGAUACUGCGGGUCUCGAGUCCGGGAGAGGUGAGUGGAAUUCCUAGUGUAGAGGUGAAAUUCGUAGAUAUUAGGAAGAACACCAGUGGCGAAGGCGGCUCACUGGCCCGGUACUGACGCUGAGGCGCGAAAGCGUGGGGAGCAAACAGG